rnacentral:lncRNA from 10 species
CAGGAACAAGUCAUAAUGGUGGACAAGUCAUAAUGGUGGAAUGUCGUAAGGUGGGUUAAUUAGUUAAGGCAGGAACUGGCUGUUUCACUUCUUUGUGGUUUUUCGGCUGCUCCAGACUUCUUGGCUCCUGCAGGCCACCUGGACGGAUAUGUGCAGGUCACAGGGGUUACAAUGGCUAAGCUUCAGCUCACAGGCCUGACAUUUUUGUCUUUUUAUUUAUAAAAUAUGAAGUUGUAGGAAAAGAUUAAAAAAAAGU